CUGAGCUAGGAAAAAACGGCUACUCGUACUUUUCCAGAAGAAAUCGCCAAGAUUCUCCUGAUGGUUUCAAAAUGUAUUUUUUUUAAGUAUUUAGGAAUGUGUUCCGCUAUUCAGUGACUCUCCACCAGGGGGCAGUUGGCAGCGUGGAAGUCCAUGAAGUUCAAAAUCCCAGGAAUUCUGCACAUUUUUACCUCGAGAUGUUUUUCUCAAGAUAAAGUUUCUACAUCUGGUUUUAAAGUAGCUAUUUCAGGGCCACCUUUGACGUGUUGCUAAAAAGGUUUCUUUGGACGUGUUGGAGGAACUGAGCUCUACAGAACCAAUGGGGAGCCGCUUCAGCCACCACCACUGCGUAGCCCCCACCUGGAUGAUGCGACAGCAGCCGUUCUGUGGCAGUACAUUCACCACACUGUAGCUAAGGUGGUCAAGAGGCAGGAAUUCACCAAUUAGAUAUAGGGAGUGAUUAAGAGGCCAGAUCUGAUAGGGCCACAGUGGGCAAUUUAGCCAGGACAUCAGGGUUAGUCUUUGAAAAGACGCCCAGGGGUCUUUUAUGACCUCAGAGAGUCGGGAUCUCAGUUAUAUGUCUCAUCCGAAGAUUUUUACAGCUCAGUGUCCCCGUCACUGCACUGGGGCAUUGGGAUCCACACUGACCACAGGAUGAGCUCCCCCUGCUGGCCAUAGUGUCCCUGUCGCUGCACUGGGACACGGGGAUCCAGACAGACCACAGCAUGGACUAACCUGUAGGCCACACCAAGACCUCUUCCAACCCAGCUUUCUAGUUGGUCUCCCAUCCGAGAACUGGUCAGGCCCAAACCCACUGACCUUGAGAAGGAUUACUUAGUCUGAACUGCAGGUGGUUUGAUAUAUAUCAGUGGUGGUGAACCUGCUCCAUGGACGGCCAGUGUGGGUGCAGGUCUUCGGGAUGACCUCACCAUCAGCCAAUAACAGUGGGUCCUCAGGACUUGACCUGAGAACCUCUGCUUUGUUAUUGGCUGAUUGUGAGGCCAUCCCAAAAACCCGCAUCCACAUUGGCUCUCCUUGGAUCGGGUUCCCCAUCCCUGGUAUAUAUGUAGCUAUAUAAAGUUACAACACUCUACUGGAUAAGUGGCUGUAAUUUGAAUGGAUGUAGGGGCAUAACUUGAAAUUCUGACCCUCCUGACAGAAUUUCACCUGGUCUCCCCUCCCCCUGCCCAAUUUUAGGUGUAAUUUUAUGUAUUCAAGGGCCACUGUAAGGGACUGGGCCCCCUGAAUCCGCAUAUCCAAGUGACGGCUGAAACUCCCAGAUCAGCAGAGGGGAAUGCAGGAGAUACAGGGAAAUGCUAGUGGAGAUACAUGUGGCAUGGGACCGUGGAGAGGUGGAGGGUAGCAGAUGGGGGUGUGUGAAACUGACGUGCAGAAGCUGCCGGAAUGGAAUGACAACAAAGCAGCAAUCUGACGAGCCCUCGUCCCCGCUUUGCGGGCCGUGCCUCACAGAUUUGGCCGCUGCUUGGGAAAAACAAUCAGAGUGCCACACCCCCCGAAGAGACGCUGGCUAAUUUUUCCGCGCACCAUUAGCCGUGCGCUAUUCACUGGUAGGUGGCCAGCGGGGGCCGAGCCCUCUCCCCUCCCCCUCCCCCUUCUGUUUUGUUUUUAAUUCAGCCAAAGGAGCGGUUUGGCCACCAGGUCCAUUCAGCCAGCAAACAGCCUCCUUUUGUCACACUGACCACGGGGCCUGUCGUGGUGACCACAGGGUCGGCCCGUCCACUGAAAAAAAGAGCAAAAUCAUUAUCUUAGGCUUCAACUAUUUUCUGCCUCCACAAAUGCUAGGCAAAGUCAAUGAUGCUAAUUUUACAUUAAAAGGGCACAUUGACUCUUAAAUUUUCUAAAUUUUCUAUGAAAUUAAA